CUGCCUUCAAACCAGGAGGAUGUUUUUCCCAUGGGAAGAUACAGCACAUGCCAUAACAGAAUCUAUGGCCACAGAGGAGGAUAGCACAUAACAAAAUUUUUCCAAGUCGCAGCAAGAUCUUACUGUUUCUUUUACAGCUGUUUUACAUAGGAAGAUAGAAACAUCUUUACCCCAUGAGGGCGUGGAGCUGAAUCUCUGUGACCUGCAGGAGUCCAGAGAAGUGCAUCAGCUUGCAAGGAGCAAUUUGAUCCUUGAUCAUACAAACUACUGAAUGGCCUUUGCUGUGAGAUGAUGAACCUGAUUAAUUUGACAUCAUCCCUGGGCAUUUUCAACCCAUAAGCUAAUAAUUGAGAGACUAAACCUGC